UACGGGGGGGGCAAGCGUUGUUCGGAAUUACUGGGCGUAAAGGGCUCGUAGGCGGCCAACUAAGUCAGACGUGAAAUCCCUCGGCUUAACCGGGGAACUGCGUCUGAUACUGGAUGGCUUGAGUUUGGGAGAGGGAUGCGGAAUUCCAGGUGUAGCGGUGAAAUGCGUAGAUAUCGGAAGGAACACCAGUGGCGAAAGCGGCUUCCUGGUCCAGCACCGACGUUCAGGCACGGAAGCGUGGGGAGCAAACAGG
rnacentral:rRNA from 1 species